rnacentral:rRNA from 1 species
GGUCUGGCAGGGCGGUCCGCCUACAAGCGAGUACUGCCGUGCCAGGCCUUCCUUCUGGCUAGCCAGUCUGCCUUUAACCGGGUGGGCUGGGGAUCCAGGACUUUUACUUUGAAAAAAUUAGAGUGUUUAAAGCAGGCCUACGCUUGAAUACAUUAGCAUGGAAUAAUAGAAUAGGACUUU